AUGGUUAGUUUUUUCAAAACGCGCAAAAAAGUGUUUUGUUUUUCCUGUAAGCUUUUCAAUUCUGAUAAAUGCACGAGUGCAAUGGGGAAUGAUGGGUUUUGUGAUUGGAGGCAUAUUAAUGAGAGACUAAAAGAGCACGAGGCUAGUGUCGACCAUAUUAUCAACAUGAACUCUUAG
rnacentral:rRNA from 1 species